rnacentral:lncRNA from 1 species
UUUCCCUCAGCCAUUUACCUGGUUCUUGGCAACUGAGGGUCAAUGCUUCUUGCUUAUUAAUGUUCUGUAUAAUAAAUACUAGCUCGGUUGUUUUAGUCAUGUGAAAGCCUGAGCAAAUAGAAGCUUUUAGUGAAUAAGGAGCAGACAGAAAACUCUGCCUUUUUUUAAAACCCUUUUUGUUUACUGCCUCUCUACAGCCAAUCAUCACUCUGACUAGCAUUUAAAAACAGCCCUCCCGGACAGUGUGAUGGGCAGAGGACUCUGGCAUUUACAUCACUUAAGCCAAGGAAGGGCAGCAUCAGUGUGGUUCACAAAGGGAUGACCUCUCUUCUCAGAAACAGUACUGUGCUAGGUCUGGGGAUACCAAUCUAAAGAAUGAACCAGGGUGCAGCUAGGUGGCUCCGUGGAUUGUUGAGCCAGGCUUGGAGACUGGAGUUCAACUCUAAACUCAGAUACUUCCCAGCUGUGUGCACCUGGGAAACUCUUUAUAAAGUCAGAGACAGGAAGCCAACAUUUACUGACCCCAAUACCAUAAAAAAGGAGGUAACUGAGACUGGUUCACCAUCUUUAUAAAAGCAAUAAGGUGAGUUGCCCUUUGAUGGAAUGGAUUAAGGACCAGAUAUCCUCACACAUAUAAGGAAGGGAGCAGGAGAGUUCACUGGAUUCUGGGCAUUUUGAGUCCAAAGGCAGCCACUCCAGAGGGCCACUAUUAUAAUUCCUGCACCCCCUCUUUUUUCUAAAAUAGGAUGUUUACUAUAUUUGAGACUGAAGAUACUGAACUCUCAAAUAACUGACACUCCAUUGUAGUCUUUGUGUUGCUGUUUGGAAGAGCUGGUGGUUAAAUGUUCAGUGUGAGCUCUUAUACCUUGGAAAUUGGCAAACACUGAAAGCCAGAGCUUGAUUGAUUGUUUUGACUUAAGAAAGUGACUGAGAAAAUGUUAAUAAUAUGUAUUCAGCGUAUGUGUGACCUAUGUUUUUGUGUGUGUCCUAUGUUUUUGGAGAGACAAUUGUUAAAUAUUUACCAGAGAACCAUUUCAAGACCCCUUUGCCCACAUGUACUGUGCUCCCGCAUGACACUUUAUCUUAGACUGACUCUAAGACUUCCUGUGAGCUGAAACUCACUAUAACAAAAGAAUCAUACUUUAGAUAUUGUUGGUCUGUUUGAUUCUUUUAUGAAUUGUCCUCUAACUUAUAGUAUUUAGAGAAUAAUUAUAAAGGACCAGGAUAGAAAUUGCUAUUAGAGUGGGUAUUCUCCCCCUCUCCUUCUCCCUCUCCCUGUCCUCUACUCCUCCCCUCUCUCUACCCCUUCCUCCAUUCUCUUUCAUUCUGCCCCACCUCAUAGAUUGUAAUGGA